GUAUAUAGAGAGUUGUUUAAAUGUAAUUGAGUCAUGUAUGCAAUGUGUGCUGGGGAUUGCAUCAUAUACUGUGAUUGCAUCAUGCACUGUCUGCUGUCCACUAUGCAAGUGUGUAAAGAGUUAACUGUCUGUUGCAUCAAACAGCAGGGGUGAUUAUAAAUAGCUCCCUGUUAUCUCUCUCUCUGGUUAUCUGCUCUCUGCACUCUGUCUGUAUGUGUAUUGUCUUGUGAGAGUUUUCCGUUCACCAGUAAACCUGUUUAUAGAUAGUUGAAGUCUCCAGCCUCGUUACUGGUACCAGUGCUUCUACGUGGGUCUUCUGCUGCGUGUAUACUUAUCCAAACCGCGCUCUGACAAAUAUUGCAGUGCAUUUCUACUAAGAAGCACUGUGUCAGAAGGAGGUGACUUUGCCCGAAAACCAAAUACCUCAAGCACAAGGAAACAAUGCCCGACUGCUCACUGGAGGGAAGGAUAUUAGAGGCAAAGAUGAAGUACUUUGGACACAUCAUGAGAAGACAGGAAAGCUUGGAGAAGAGAAUGAUGCUGGGGAAAAUAGAAGGAAAAAGGAAGAGGGGCCGACCAAGGGCAAGGUGGAUGGACGGUAUCCUUGAAGUGACUGGCUUCAGCUUGAGAGAACCAGGGGCAGCGACGGCUGACAGGAAGCUCUGGCAUGGACUGGUCCAUGAGGUCACCAAGAGUUGUAAGUAACUGAAAGAAUAAACAACAACAUACUCUUCACCUGAUUUAACCAUCUUAGAGGCAGAUGGUCUGUAUAAAUAGAGAAUUCUGUCACCCAUAAAUAAGGUUUCAGCUUACUGAUGGCUCAUAUAAUAGCCAAACAUUAUCUCUCUAUUACUGCUAAAUGUUGCUCGCUCUCUAAUAAUUUUCUACUUAGGUAGAAUAUGGGUUAUAAAUUCAACACCUGUAUCUUCUUAAUUCAAUAUGUCUGUCAUACCAAGUAAAUAAAGCUCUGGUUUCAUUUGGUAUCUUUCCCCUAUUAUUUUUUGACAUUCUUCAUGUAUUUCCUUCCAGAAAUUUUUACUUUUCUUACAAGACCACCACAUGUGGUAGAAGGACCCGUGCUCACUUUGAUCACAUUUCCAACAUCUCGUUUGUAAUUUCUUGUUGUAUUUGCCUAGUUUUUGUGGUGUGAUGUACCACCUAUAGAUCAUCUUUAGACAAUUUUCCUUCAAAUCAUAGGCAUAUGUGAACUCCAUUUUCCUAUUCCAUAUACUUUCCUAUUCUUCAUAUUUUAUUGAUCUCCCUAUAUUUUGGGCCUAUUGUACUAUACAUUCUUUUAUUGGUUCAGUUUCUGUGUGCCACUCUAGUAAUUUCUUAUAUAGUUUUGUGAUUGUUUUUUUCUCUGUCAGAAAGACUUUGUCACAGUAAGUUUUUUCCCAUAAAUCCUCUUUGCCGAUCAAUAUUAUAUUUCUCUUUUAUUUGUCUAUAUUGGAACCAAGAAAUAUUUUCAAAGGUUUUGCCAAUCUCUUCCUGUGAUUUUAUCUCAUAUUCCUUUCUCUGUUUUCUUAAGAUGUCUUCAUAGGUAAGCCAUCUCGUUCCACUUGUUGUCCUCCUUUGCAAAGCUUCCAAGGGCGAGACCCAGAGAGGAAUUUUAAGAAACAUUCGCAUUUUGUACUUCUCCCAUAUUUUAAUCAAUGAAGAUCUAAUAAAAUGGUUCUUGAAAUGUUUUUCUAUUUUCUUUUUGUCGUACCAAGCAUGCAAAUGCCAACCCAAUAUGAGAUUAAAUCCUUCUAGAUUUAAGGUCUUUUCUCUGUUCAACAGGAGCCAGUCUCGUCCAAGUAAGUGCACAGGCUUCAUAAUAUAAUUGGAGGUCUGGUAAAAGCCAUUCCCCUUCUUUUGUCAUCUGUUAGGUUUUUGUACUUGAGCCUUGGUUUUUUCCCCAAGUCAAAUGAAUUUUGUCAAUUCUCUUUUCCAAUCUGUGAAAGCUUUCUGGUUCUGUAAUAUGGGCAAAUUUUGAAAUAGGUAGAGUAACUUCACGAAGACAUUCAUUUUGAUGGCAAAGGUCCUUCCUAGUAGUGACAAUUUCAGAUAUCUCCAAUUAUUCAAUUCCAUCUUAAUUUCCUUCCAAAUUCUUUCAUAAUUUUUUUAACAGUUGAAAGUUUUUUGCCUUAUGAACAUGCCUAAAUAUUUAAUUUUGGUGACAAUUUUUAGUCCUGUUCUUUUACUUAAUAGCUCUUGUCUCUUCUUUGUGACUUUUUUGUCAAUGCUUCUGUCUUAUCCAUAUUUAUCUUGAGACCUGCUCCAUCCAAUUUUUAAAAUUAUCCAUUAGGUCCUUGAUUACGCAAAUUACGUCAUCAACAAAAGCUCUCAUCUUGUAUGUUUGUCCUUGUAUGUUAGCUCUUUUUAGAUUUGUUUCCUCCCUUAUACUGUUCAAUAUGAUUUCUAGGGCCAUUAUGAAUAGUAACGGUGAGAGGUAGGCAUCCUUCUCUCACACCCUUUUGUAUCUUUAUCUUGUCAGCCUCCAGUCCAUUUACAAUUAUUUUAGCCUCUUGUUCACCAUAUAUGACCUCUAUCGUGUUUUUUUGUAUCAUCACUAUGCUUCUUCUCUAUCUCUAUUGUAUCUCCUGCCUUCUGUAUCAUGCUAACAUUUUUCUGAGGUAAAUUGACUUUCUUUUCAGGAUUUAACUUUGGACAUUUGCAUCUGGCAUCCCGGUUCUUGACAAUGAAAGCAAGUAAUCUUUUCAAAACUUGUUGGCAUUUUGCUUCUGAAGUAAUUAUUAUUCCUUUCUAGAUUUGAGCUAUCAUCUCUUUUCUAUUAGCAUUACUAUAUUUCUGCCAUAGGCUUGUGUUGGCACUUCCCCUCCCACAGAAUUUCUAGUUAUAAAGGUUCCCAUAUUUUCUCUGUAAUGCUUCUUAUAUGGUAUAUUCAUAACUCCAGACACAUUGUCAAUUCUCUUAUCCCUAAUGUACCAUCUCAUUUGCAUGGGCACUAAUUUAUAAUGUUAUGGUUGAGCCUUAUGGCUCCAAUACUGGGAGACGUGGUCGUAAGACUCCUCGAGAGUCAGAUUCUCUUGAGGAGCGAGAGAGGAAACGGCUGCGGGAUAUAUUUGCGGAAUCAACUGACGAAGACUCCUUUGAGGGUUUUACCGAGAGAAUGGAGGAAGAGGUGGUUAGCUCAGAGGAGGAUGACAUGGAAUGGACUCGUGUAAGGGAGGAUUUGGGUGUUCCUGGUAAUGAUAGCAUGGGAAGCGACUGGCGGGUUGCAGGAUCGGACCCGUGGAUGAGCUGGAGGGAUGGAACGGGAUCCACAGCUGGGGAUGCUGUGGGGCGUAGUCAAAGAUGUUUUAGCUCUGAUGAGGAUGAUGAUAAUGAGGCACCGGGAAUUAGGGUAACAGCUGAUAGCGAUGAGGAGUUGUAACUGGCAUAAAAUGGGGUCUUGAAUCCAGGGCUAAUUGCGUUGGGCAAGGUAGUCUGGACGAACGCUUGGGCUCUUGUUGGGAAAUUCCUGAAGACGGGUGUGUUUCGUUUGCUGAAUACGUAAGUUACCAAGGACACUGGGCAUAGACGGCGGGAGGAACUGUGUGGGCUUUUGUUGUGCAACCUGUGUUUAAUCUUAUUAGCUUGGACCUCCGUCGUCUUCUUGACGGACAUUGUUUGCCUACUCGGAAUUGACGCUGGACUGGCUGACUGACUGACUGACUGACUGACUACGACCUUGGACUACCCUCUCUUUGGCUAUCGGUGGAACUCGUGGAACCUAGACGCCUGCACCUGGUUAUCGACCUCGGACCGGAUUGGGACCCCGCUGACCGCUGCAACCCUGAUUGAUGUGCUUGGACCCGGAGUUCGCCCGCUGCACGGAGGAGUAACAACUUAGUUACUCAAUCACAGCUGUCGAGUAGCAGAGAGGAAUCUGCUGCCAGUAUUUAUGUUUUAUUGAAUCUUUGUUUACCAGCUUUUGUUUGUUUUAAGUCCCAGGCUGAAGUAAGCAUUUUUGGUUUAACCCGGAUUAAACUCCUGUUUAAUCCGGUUUAUCUUUUGAACUGUUUUUGAGUGACUUUUCAUAUUGAAGGCGAGUGUUUGCCUAGCUCUUUGUUUUUUAUUAGCAUUUUUGGUUCUGUAUCUUUAAU